UGGGGAAUUUUUCGCAAUGGGCGCAAGCCUGACGAAGCAACGCCGCGUGGAGGAUGAAGGUCUUCGGAUUGUAAACUCCUGUCGACCGGGACGAAUGCACCCGACCUAAUACGUCGAAGUGUUGACGGUACCGGUGGAGGAAGCCACGGCUAACUCUGUGCCAGCAGCCGCGGUAAUACAGAGGUGGCAAGCGUUGUUCGGAAUUACUGGGCGUAAAGGGCGCGUAGGCGGCCUUAUAAGUCUCGUGUGAAAGCCCUCGGCUUAACUGAGGAUCUGCACGGGAUACUGUAAGGCUCGAGUUCGGGAGAGGAAAGCGGAAUUCCGGGUGUAGCGGUGAAAUGCGUAGAUAUCCGGAGGAACACCAGUGGCGAAGGCGGCUUUCUGGACCGACACUGACGCUGAGGCGCGAAAGCUAGGGGAGCAAACGGGAUUAGAUACCCCCGUAGUCCCUGAGCGGGCUGGCAAGGCGCAU
rnacentral:rRNA from 1 species